CGCUCGCCGGAAGACCAAGGGUUCCUGUCCAACGUUAAUCGGGGCAGGGUGAGUCGACCCCUAAGGCGAGGCCGAAAGGCGUAGUCGAUGGGAAACAGGUUAAUAUUCCUGUACUUGGUGUUACUGCGAAGGGGGGACGGAGAAGGCUAUGUUGGCCGGGCGACGGUUGUCCCGGUUUAAGCGUGUAGGCUGGUUUUCCAGGCAAAUCCGGAAAAUCAAGGCUGAGGCGUGAUGACGAGGCACUACGGUGCUGAAGCAACAAAUGCCCUGCUUCCAGGAAAAGCCUCUAAGCAUCAGGUAACAUCAAAUCGUACCCCAAACCGACACAGGUGGUCAGGUAGA
rnacentral:rRNA from 1 species